GGCGGCGGUUUGGAGUGAGGGUAGCACGUUGAGUGAAGGACUGUGUGGAAGGUCCCGGCUCAGAGCCUGGCUACGAUCCUCUUUCUGGUAGAAAUCCUGUGCAGGGUUAGAGCUGAGUGUCUGAGGGAUGGAUCGAGUAUGGAGUACGUGGUACGGAAAGUGUAUCAAAGAAAAAAGAUCGACACCACCAUGGGCCCAGACCAUCGCGGUCGCUUGGCUCAACAGGGCUGAAUGGGAUCAAGUGACGGUGUAUCUCUUCUGUGAUGACCAUAAAUUGCAGCGGUAUGCGCUGAACCGCAUCACGGUGUGGAGGAGCAGGUUAGGCAACGAACUCCCCCUGGCAGUGGCUUCUACUGCUGACCUGAUACGCUGUAAGCUCAUGGAUGUAACUGGUGGCUUGGGCACUGAUGAACUUAGACUGCUGUAUGGGAUGGCAUUGGUCAGGUUUGUGAAUCUUCUCUCUGAAAGGAAGACAAAGUUUACCAAGCUCCCACUCAAGUUUCUGGCUCAGGAGGUAAACAUUCCAGAUUGGAUUGUUGAACUUCGCCAUGAGUUGACACACAAGAAAAUGCCCCAUAUAAAUGACUGUCGCAGAGGCUGUUACUUUGUCCUGGAUUGGCUCCAGAAGACCUACUGGUGCCACCAACUAGAGAACAGCUUGAGAGACAGCUGGGAGUUGGAAGAGGAUAAGGCAGAUAUGGAAGAAGACCAAGAGGAAGAUAAGAACAUUGGUGUUGAUGAUAUCACAGAACAGGGAUUAGAGCCUAAGGACCAUGGGAAAGAUGCAGAGUUGGAUGUCAAAGUUGAUGGAAACAGUAAAGGCAAUGAAGAGGUAGAUUCUCAUUGGGACAAGGCUCUGCGUCAUAAGGAGUUAUAUGAAAGAGCCCGAGAAUUGUUAGUGUUAUAUGAAGAGGAGCAAUUUAAGGUGCUGGAGAAAUUUAAACAUUUCCCUCAGGCCAUUAAGGUGUGGAAUAAUCUAUCUCCAUGUGUAGAAAGCAUCUUGGCAGAGCUCAAGGGCAUUGCUUGGGAGAACAGGAAUGCAGUGCUGGAUGCCUUUUUGGAUGAUGGCUUUCUCAUUCCCACGUUUGAGCAGUUGGCAGCUUUGCAGAUAGAGUAUGAAGAAAACGUGGACUUGAAUGACAUCUUGGUACCAAGGCCAUUCUCUCAGUUCUGGCAGCCCUUGCUCAGGGGCCUACACUCCCAGACCUUCACACAGGCCCUGCUGGAGAGGAUGUUCUCUGAGCUGCCAGCCUUGGGGGAUAGCGGGAUCCGGCCCACCUACAUCCUUAGAUGGACCAUUGAACUGAUCGUGGCCAACACUAAGUCUGGGCCAAAUGCUCAUCGAUUUUCUGCAAGCCAAUGGGAAGCAAGAAGAAGCUGGAGGCUAUUCAACUGCUCUGUCUCCCUUGACUGGCCCCAGGUGGUUGAGUCCUGUUUGGGCUCACCUUGCUGGGCCAGCCCUCAACUCCUUCAGCUUGUCUUCAAAGCCAUGGGACAGGUCCUGCCAGAUGGGGAACAGGAGAAGCUGCUGCGCAUCUGUUCCAUUUAUACUCAGAAUGGAGAAAACAACUUGCAGAAGGAGGGCUCUGCGACCUCCCAUAUUGAGAAAUCUCCAUACACAUUGGACAGCCUAUACUGGGGCCUCAAACCAGCUAGUUCCAGCUAUGGGUCUGAUGGAAAGGGCCAGCAAGAGGGGGAGCAGGGCACUCCUAAUGGUGAUAAUGAAGAGGAGGAGAAAAAGGCCCUGAAUGACCAGAUGGAGAGAGAGGAGAAAGAGGAAGAUGAUGACUUGGAAGAAGAAGAUGAUGAUGAAGAGGAGGAGGAAGAGGAAGGCAGCAUGGAAGUAGGAUCUUUCUCUGCUGCACAUGAGUCCCCUACCAUUGUGAAUGCCAGGCUCCUGGCCCAGAAAACAGGAGCUUUGGAGGGCUCUGCAUGGCAAGUUAGCUCAGAAGAUGUGCAGUGGGACACAUUCCCCUUAGGCCGCAUGCCAGGUCAAACAGAGGAUCCAGCAGAGCUUAUGCUGGAGAAUUAUGAUACCAUGUAUCUUUUGGAUCAGCCUGUGCUAGAGCAGCGGCUGGAACCCUCAUUGUGCAAGACUGGGUGAGUGCCCAUGGCAACAGGAUUUCUCACUGCCUCCUCUACCACUUGUGGGAGGAAGGGAAGGAGACAAAAUGGAGUAGCACCCUGGGCCUAAAUUGUGGUGUCGGCAGUGGCAAUUUCAGCAACAGCAGCAGCAACUUGGAGGGCCUUCUCUGGAGCCAGGGACAGCUGCACGGGCUCAAAACUGGCCUGCAGCUAUUCUGAUGCCUGCCUUAAUGGAAGUGUUCAUCCAUCCCUGCCAGAGCAACAGCCCACCCCCAGUGCACCUAAUCUUCCAUGAUACAAUCUAGGAGACAGCCCAGAUCAGCCACAUCAACUCAGCUUUCCACCAAUAGAGUGUGGAAUGAAUUUUUCCUUUUGUUUUGUUUUGAAGAACAAUAAACAGGCAACUACAGUUUUGA